AUUGAACGCUGGCGGCAUGCUUUACACAUGCAAGUCGAACGGUAACAGGGAGCUUGCUCCGCAGACGAGUGGCGAACGGGUGAGUAAUGCGUCGGAACGUGCCGAGUAGUGGGGGAUAACGCAUCGAAAGGUGUGCUAAUACCGCAUACGAACUGAGGUUGAAAGUGGGGGACCUUCGGGCCUCACGCUAUUCGAGCGGCCGACGUCUGAUUAGCUAGUUGGUGAGGUAAAGGCUCACCAAGGCGACGAUCAGUAGCGGGUCUGAGAGGAUGAUCCGCCACACUGGGACUGAGACACGGCCCAGACUCCUACGGGAGGCAGCAGUGGGGAAUUUUGGACAAUGGGCGCAAGCCUGAUCCAGCCAUGCCGCGUGUCUGAAGAAGGCCUUAUGGUUGUAAAGCACUUUAAGCGAGGAGGAGGCUCCUUUGGUUAAUACCCAAGAUGAGUGGACGUUACUCGCAGAAUAAGCACCGGCUAACUCUGUGCCAGCCGCCGCCGUAACAC
rnacentral:rRNA from 1 species